AGAGAGAGACAUGCGCGCAUAUCAAUAAGCGGAGGAAAAGAAACUAACAAGGAUUCCCUUAGUAACGGCGAGUGAAGCGGGAAGAGCUCAAAUUUGAAAUCUUCAAGGUUCUACCUUGACGAAUUGUAGUUUAUAGAAGUGUUUUCUGUUAGUGGAGUGGCGAAAGUUCUUUGGAAUAGGACAUCAUAGAGGGUGAGAAUCCCGUAUUUGGUCAUUCCUCCUAGCGUUGUGAUACACUUUCAACGAGUCGGAUUGUUUGGGAAUGCAGUCCAAAAUGGGUGGUAAAUUUCAUCUAAAGCUAAAUAUUGGCGAGAGACCGAUAGCGAACAAGUACCGUGAGGGAAAGAUGAAAAGAACUUUGAAAAGAGAGUUAAACAGUACGUGAAAUUGUCAAAAGGGAAGCGUUUGACACCAGUGUUGUUUUUCCGAAAAUCAAUUACGAAUGUUUUAUUUUUGAGGAGUUAUGACUUCAUCGGCUUGCUCCUUUCUUUAUGAAACUUUCUUAAUGCACUUUUCGGUUAACAAGUCAACAUCAAUUUCUUUUGUUGUAAAAGGGUAUGAGGAAGGUGGCUUUCUUUUCGGAGAAAGUGUUUAUAGCCUUGUGCCUCUGCAAUCGGAGAGAUUGAGGUCUGCAGCGUAGAUCCUUCGGGGUUAGAUACGUUUGUGCUAAGUUAUAGCUUUUCAUAGACAACUUGUUGACUAUGUUUAGUCUUGUAGCUUACUCGCUGACGCUAUUUUACCUACGCUUAGGAUGUUGAUAGUCACAGCGUGUAC
rnacentral:rRNA from 1 species